UACAGAGGUUACAAGCGUUAUCCGGAUUUAUUGGGCGUAAAGCGUUUCGUAGGUGGAUUGGAAAGUUACUCUUCAAAGACUACGGCUCAACCGGAGGAAGGGGAGUAAUACUGCCAGUCUUGAAAUAUGGUGGGGCUUCCGGAACUGAUGGUGUAGUAGUGAAAUACGUUGAUAUCAUCAGGAACUCCGAGGGCGAAGGCAGGAAGCUAACCAUUUUUUUGACACUGAGGAACGACAGCUAGGGG
rnacentral:rRNA from 1 species